rnacentral:sRNA from 1 species
UAAUAAGUUAGAGCUGAAGAUGCAGUAUUCUAGUCAUGACCUGCGCAUCAGAAGACGGGCCUAAAAAACCGUAUAAGGGCAUAUCGAUGAAGUUUCUGGUGUGAGCUUGCGACGCCCAGUCGCGGGCUUGUGCUGGGAGUUAAGACAUUAGGGCGAUCCACAAGGGCAUGUGGGCGUUGACCCUUUUGUCGCGGAGACCAACGUAUGUGGGUUAACAUGAUCUACGGCGUUGGAUUAAACCUGUCAUGCGGCGUAAGCUGUGGACAGUGUAGCCUGCCUUGCGUGACUUUGAAGGGGAUAGUAAUUUAGGCAUUGAUUCUUAGGCCAAAGAGGAUGUGUUAUUGUUGCUUGAAAUUUGAAGUUGCUAAAGAGGCUAAGAAGCGUUUGGUGAUGUGAGGAAAACUCCUAGACUGUUCGAUAGAGGUUAUCAUAGGAUUACAGUGUGGUUAUUAAGGCGAUCUAGCGCCAGUUGUUUUGGGAAUUCAAUGAAAGAGGAAUCGCUCCUUUGGCGACAUCGGAGUUUGAAUUUGGGAAAACCUGCUAGACUACAUGCCGCAAAAUUUACUAUGGUAAUUAUCUUCAGCUUUUAAUUUUAA